GGCGCGGAGUUCCGCCAUGUUAAUUCUCCUCCUCUGUUUUUACGCCGCUAUGACGUCACAACCGCUAACGAGAAUUAAUGAAGAAAUCCUCGGCCCUGAUUGGCUCACGAAAUGGCGGUAUUAGGUUUACAAAUAGAAGGCUUAUGGUAAUCCUCGAUGAACCCUGUCUAUUGACGGCAUUUUAUCAACUAUGUUUGCUGAUUUCCUGUCUUGUGGCAGAGUCCG